ensembl:snRNA U1 U1 spliceosomal RNA
AGACUUACCUGUCAGGGAAAACACAAAGUGAUAAGGAGGUGGUUUUUCCCAGGAUGAGGCUUAUCCAUUGCACUUCCAAUGUUCUGACUUAACCCUGCAAUUUCUCCAAAUGCAGAAUGUUUGACUGCAUAAUUUGUGGUCAUUGAGAGACCAGCAUUUGCAUUCUCCCC